ACUUCCCGCCGUUCGGUGGGGAGCCCUGGGAGUGGAUUUGGGUCUUUGUCCGUACUCAUGUUCGUGCGGACCAAGCGGUUGAAAAGUCAGCCUGGGAGCGGGCAGGAAGCUUGGCUCACUCGCUGGCGACCGACUGCCUUAUUUGCUGUCAUAGCGGGGAGGGUGAAUGAGAGAGUGAAGGGAUGGAGAUUCUCCUCUCCGCGAAUACUAAACCAAUUCAAGGUCCCCACCCGGCACUGGGUGGCAGCGCUGGGAUUGGACACCAAGGCGCCGAGGCCAGCCUCCGCUCCCAGCCGAGGGCGGUGACUGGGCGCAUUGUCCUGAGCCGCAGCUUCAUUCAUCCAGCUGCCUACCAGGUAGUUCCUCCGGAAUAUCCUCCAGGUAUCUAGUAAAGAAGUGUUAUCUCUCCUUAUCAAAAGAAAACCAGUGACCUCUAGGGUUGCACUGGGUCCACCACACCUGACCCUGCAGUUACUCCUGGGGAGCAAAACACUCCUCCCUCCCAUGCCCCAAAGAAUGCAUCAGUGAGCUUUCCCUUUUUCAAGGUUAGCAUAAGCCUAUUGAGUCAAGGGACUUCCCUGGUGGUCCAGUGAUUAAGACUCCGCACUUCCACUGCAGGGGCGUGAGUUCGAUCCCUGGUCAGGGAACUAAGAUCCGGGAUGCAGUGCGGCCAAAAAAAAAGACUAGAGUCAAGCAGGCCUUUAGUGAAGUUAGGAGAUCACAGAUAAGAAAUACAUUUCUGGUUCUUCUGAUCUCUACAACUCAAACUCUUAGGCAGCUUGGGGCCCUCUAUGAGUCUCUCCUUGCCCCACCCUCCAGCCUUUUUCCAUGGUCCUUGGAGUUCCCAUGUCACAAGGACGACGACUUCACAGGUGACCAACACUAUGAAUGGCUUCCCUCUUCAUAAAAACCUUCUCUCUACCCAUGGGGUGACCUCAUCCUGCUGGCCUGGACAGGAUGACCAUCUAUCAAUACCGUACGAAGGCUUCCACGUACACCUCUAACUCAGUUCAUCUGAAACAAGACUCAUCUCCUUCGGACGUACCUGGUGGCCUUGUCUGGCGCCACAGCACCACCAUCCAGUCAGUAGCCCAAGCACGAGUUUGAGAGUCAUUGACUCGCCUCCCUUUCCUUCGUCCUCUGUCCUCACCAGGCAGUUUCCAAGUCCUGUUAUUCUGCCUCCUAAGUAUUUACUAAAUUCAUCCUCUCACUUGUAAAGGACCCUGACUGGACCUCAAUUCUGCCUGCCUUCCAACUGGUUCUCAGCAUUACUGUCUGAGGGAGCUUAUACUGGCAGGAAGCUUUCUGAAGUGCAAAUCUGAUCAAGUCCCUCCUCUUUAAAAUCCUUUGAUGACCAAAUAUCUCCUGCAGAAUAAAAUCCAAAUUAUGGCAAUCAAGGCCCUUCACAGUGAGGUUUCCACCUACCUCUUCAGCUUUCUCUGCUAUACCUUUGACCCAUACCACAGUAUUUGAUUUCCUGAAUGCACCAUUUUCUCUCCAUACUUUACAUGCUAUUCUGGCUACCAGGAAUGACUUCCCUGCCCUCAUUUGUACAUGUCUUCCAAAUCCAGCUCAAAUACCUCCCCUAAGUAGCCUCCUCUGAUCUGUACUGGCUCGGAUUUCGGUGUGCCUCCUCUGAUCCCACAGCCCACUCACAGCCUUCCUACAUGUCAUUUAAUGCAGCCUGCUGACUCAAGUGUUAACUGUUGGUUCACUUGUCUCUUCUCGCCGCUUAACUGAGUUGAGAGGCAGGAGCUGUCUUGUUCCUCUCUAUAUCUCCAAUACCUAACAAAGAGUUUCACACACAGCAGGUGCUUAAUAAAUGUUUGUUGCAUUUAAGACGGGAGGAUGGCAUGACUGAAGACUCAAAAGGGUCUGUCAAGGAAUGGACUGUACUGCCUGGUUGCCCUAGUGGCCAAGGGAUGUGCAGUGAGUUGCAUGGACUACGCCUGCAAAAGAGGUUGUGUCAGUUCUUCAAAGGCCUUGGGAGCCCUGCCAGGAGUUUGGGCUUAUUUGCUGGGCAGUAGAGAACCACGAGGUGCUGGAUGAUCAGUGCUGUGCCAAAGAUGGGAGGAUGGAUUAGAGAAGGCGAAGGCUUGGGUUAGAGAAAACAGGUAGCUAUUAGCUCUGUCUUCCAGUUGAAAGAGUGGCUUGGGCAAAUGGUGACUACCCAAGGCCACAUGGUAAGCAACAGAACUAGGAGUUGAACAAGUUCUGGACUAUGCCAAGUCCAGAGAUCUUUGUACCACACCACAGCGGGUAUGCAGUAGAUGGGGCUUCAAGGUUGUCCCAGUGUGAAUGGAUACUCCAUUAAUCAGGAUAGGAUAGGUUAUGUUGCAGACACAAUUCUGAAAUCUCUGUGGCUUAACAUAACACGCUUAUUUUCCAUUCACACAAAGUCCACUGUGGCGCUGGACAUCACCUUAAGGCAGCUUAGCCAUCCAGGCUGCUUUGACAUGCUUCCAUAGUUGCCACGAUUGGGAAAGAACACUUGGAGAAUCACACACCAGCUUGAUUUUGGAAGUGACACACAUUACUUCCAGUAUGGUCCACUGGCCAGAACUAGUCUCAUGACCUCACUUGACUACACAGGGACUGGAAAAUACAGUCUUCUAUGUGUCCAGGAAGCAGAGAGGGCAGGAAAUAUUUGUGGGCAAUAGUAAUGCCUACCCAGGACAUCAGGGGCCGAUGCCUAUAGAGAAGGAGGGAUGAGGCCAAACAGUCAGUGUAUGAGAUGUGCAAAGGAGAGAGGUUUUGCUCAGGAUUUGUGUUAGGUCAAGGCUGUUCUAGUCACAGGCAGCCAGCAGGGGAACCUCAUCCAGGCGAUAGUAUCUUCUUAACCCUUUCCUGCUCAGCAUCUUUCACCUCUGCUCCAGCUGAGGGAGAAGUGAAGCAAAAUCUGUAAUGACCCUGAGAGGGAGGCAGGACUGGUACAGAUGACUGCAGUUUUCAGAUGAGGAACCCAAGGAAUGAAGACAUUCUGUGAUGUGCCUGCAUAUGCAGCAACCAAAGCAUUAAAACCACAGUUUGUGGAUUUUAGGCAUUUGCAGGCCUGUCACCACCAUCAUAUGUGGGCCCUUCGUACUCCAUCUUUGCCUCUGCAGCACCUAGCAUGGGCCUAGUACAGAAGAGUGGCCAAACCCUGUUAGUAUUGAGCCAGGCCCUCCCUGUGCACUUCCCUCCAGAGCCCCUGCAUCUGCCCUACAGCAUAGCUGCGCAGGGCACACGGCUUCGGGAGCAAGAGCCACCAGCCCCUGCCAGCCUCUGCAGAAAGGCACCAGGUGGGGACGCCCUUUGGGGUAUGUGAGGAGGGCAGGGAGAGGCUCCUGGCACUGUUAAAAGGGGCUUCAGAAGGGAGGGGUAGGGCAGCUGCCCCUUCGGGAGGGAACUCGGGGGGCCGUGAGGGUGGAAUCCAUCUGUGCCUAAUAAGAGUGCCUGGGCAACUUUCUGCCGUGGAAAAGUUUUCCGUAGCUGAAGGUCCUCUAUCCCACUCCUCCACGCACACUCCAUGUGUUCCUGACUUGGCCUUGAGUAGUAUUUGUUUUUCUUGUGUCCCAGGAUUCCCUCCUCUGGCUUCUAACCAGACAACCCUCCUGAGUCCUGGGGCUGCUUCUGCUUCUGACAGAGCACCUGGAAGAAAUUCUCACCUGAAAACCCCACCUCAGACAUCGUGAGUGUCCACCUGGCAGGCCAACUGCCCUUCUUCCCUGCUGAGGUGGAG